rnacentral:lncRNA from 1 species
GGAAGAGUCCGAAUAAGGUUGCUAGAAUAAAAAAUGUCAUGGGUUUGGUUACAACCUAAACAUGUAUGGCGACUCUUGAGGUCCGCCGUCUUCCCAACCUUUCGGGGCUUAGGGCGUGGGCAGGAGACUAGUUACUUCCAAGUUCGGCCAAGGUUGUGACUACCCCUAUUUGAAAAGCCGCAAUAUUGAAAAUGCUAAAAAAGUGAAAAAUGAGAAAAUAAAAGAAAAGAAAAUGAAAAGCAAAGAAAAUCGAAAGGAAGCAAGUUGUAUGUAGUAUUCUAUAGAAGU